ACUGCAUAGGACUAAUCUUGAGUACCCAACCAAAAAAAAAAAAUCAGAUGGAUAAUCAGGGUCACUAAUCUACUCUUAUCUCAACUGUGACUUUGAAUAUGGUGAUGAAGAUAUGAACAGAUACCAGCUGACCAUUCAAAAGAAUAAAGAAGGGAUUCUGGAGCUCACACGGGAGAAUAAGACGUGGGUUAGACUCUUCCAUAGAAUCCAGUGCUGAAGGCCAUCUUGCCUGAAAAAAUCCUGUCAGAGCCUCCUACUCUAACUUAGAUUUUGCAGAAAAGACUGGACAGAGUUGUGGUGGUUUUGGGGACUAGAAAGACGGUCCUUGUUGAUCAUAGUAGGGUUUCCUGCAAGGGAUAUGCUACUAAAUCCAGAUUAAUGGGAGUGAACCAGAUGCUUUCGCAGAGGCAUUGAGGAAGAGAACAGGCUCUUCUACUGAGUUGCUAAGGAAGGCAAGAAAACAGGGGUCCCAGGAAUCUUCUGCCCUUCUGCCCAUGACUCUGCCUGCACCAGACGACACUUACUGGUGUUCACUCAAGCACAGUACAUGAGUGAAAUGUGAAAUUUGGUGCCGUGACUCGGAUCGGGGGACCUCCCUUGGGAGAUCAAUCUUCUGUCCUCCUACUCUUUGCUCUGUGACAAAGAUCCACCUGCAACCUCUGGUCCUCAGACUAACCAGCCCAAGGAACACCUCACCAAUUUUAAAUCGGUUCCUUUCCUUUUCUGGUAGAGACAAAGGAGACGCAUUUUAUCCAUGAACCCAAAACUCCGGAGCCGGUCACGGACUCGGGAAAACAGUCUUCCCUUGGUGUUUAAUCACGCGGGGACAACUGCCUGAUUAUUCACCCACGUUUCAGAGG
rnacentral:lncRNA from 1 species